AAAGAAAAAGAAAAGGAGAGAAAACUAGGAAGGAAACAGUCUGCUCAGCUAUGCAGGUCGGAGUUGGGUUAACGGCCGUCUGAAAUUGCGCUUUCCGUCUUGGACCAUCCCGCCUAUUCCCCGCACUUGUUCGCCACGGACCGAUUUAUCAUGGUGGCCGAAAACGAAUCGUUAAUGGAAAUAAGACAAUAUCUUUGCCCAGCAGGCAGCGAAGCGAUCCACAUCUCGCAGGGGAUUCCGUACGCGGAAAAUAGCAAUCCUGCCGCACACGUCUUUCCGUCGCUGCUUAUUUCUCAGCAGGAAAUUUCGGUCUUGUGCCACGUUGUCACUUCGUAAAUAUUUAUGAAAAGACGAAGAGGCAACGGCGCAAAGUCAAUUCUCUCCCGCUCUCUCCAUCGCCGGGAGAAGAACCCGUAUCUCCAGGUCUUAAAGCAUCUCGGGCCGCCUCCCCGACGAGCCCGAUUGGACGAAAAACGCUCGUCGCCAUGGAAACGAGGAGGAACGCAGCGGAGCUUCGCGAGUCUACAACACUGGAGAU